GUACCUUAUAGAGAUAUGAGGGUGCUAGCUUGCUAGAACUUAGAGACAGGUGCUGCACGGCUGUCGUCAGCUCGUGUCGUGAGAUGUUGGGUUAAGUCCCGCAACGAGCGCAACCCACGUAUUUAGUUGCUAACGGUUUGGCCGAGCACUCUAAAUAGACUGCCUUCGUAAGGAGGAGGAAGGUGUGGACGACGUCAAGUCAUCAUGGCCCUUAUGCCCAGGGCGACACACGUGCUACAAUGGCAUAUACAAUGAGACGCAAUACCGCGAGGUGGAGCAAAUCUAUAAAAUAUGUCCCAGUUCGGAUUGUUCUCUGCAACUCGAGAGCAUGAAGCCGGAAUCGCUAGUAAUCGUAGAUCAGCCAUGCUACGGUGAAUACGUUCCCGGGUCUUGUAC
rnacentral:rRNA from 1 species